rnacentral:tRNA from 1 species
GUGUCAGCACGGGCGCGGGAGAGCCUCAGCGGUCUGUAAUAUCGUCGCCGUUUGGCUGAGUCGGUUCGAAUCCGACCUGACACACCA